rnacentral:rRNA from 1 species
UAAAAAUGUAUUUUAAUAUAUUAGAUUAUUAUUAGUUAUGUUCUUGAAAAUUAAUAAAUUUGGCGGUAUUUUAUUCUAUUCAGAGGAAUUUGUUUUAUAAUUGAUGGUACACAAAAUAUCUUACUUAAUUUAUUAAAGUUUAUAUAUCGUCGUCAUAAGAAUAUCUUAAAAGAGAUUUAAUAUUCUAAAAUUUAUAUUAAAAAUUAUGUCAGAUCAAGGUGUAGCUUAUAAUUAAGAAAAAAUGAAUUACAUUAAAUUUAUUUAUACGGAUAUAUAAUUUAAAUAUUAUAUAAUAAGGUGGAUUUGUUAGUAAAUUUAAAAAUAAAGAUAAAUUGAUUAUAGUUUUAAAAUAUGC